GCAAUGGUGGUUCAGUGGUAGAAUUCUUACCUCCCACGUGGGAGAACCAGGUUCAAUUCCCAGCCAAUGAA
rnacentral:tRNA from 1 species